CCUCGCCCCGCCCGCCCGCUCCCAGCACCCCACGAAAACUACCCCAGAACUCUCAAAAAAGCAAAGCAUGUGAUUAGCUCCUCUCUCCCGCACGGCCCUCCACCGUUCUUUCCAUUCCCCACGCUAUUCCCCACGCGAUUACCUCCAAUCAAUCAAUCAAGCGAUUAACUGCGUAUUCCCCAAAAACCAGUACAAACAUGCCUAUUCCCACCCUCCCCUGCGAUUAUCUCCAGACUGGAUUACGACCUCAAGGUUUUUUCUCGCGCACACACACCGAUCGACGCGCCGCCACCUCCCCAGCCGCCGCCUGAGGAACUGCGCCUCCAGAGUUUGAAGUGCCGCCGCCGUCUCCACGGGAAUCAUCACUGCCGCCUCAUGGAAUUACCAAUCGACGCUGCCGGCUCACUCUAUGCGUCCAGAACCUCCAGGAAUCGAGCCGUCCAAAACGUGUUCGAGGAAAUGCCUCAAGGGUGUUGUGUUCACAAGAAACCCGGUGCGGGACGCCCAUGUGGAUGAAUUUUCUGGUCAGCAAUUUGUAUGUUUGCUUUGGAGUUGCAUCCAUUGGAACGGAAGAUUUUUAGACGUUGCCGGUCAUAUCAGAAUUCAAAGGCUUUUCCAUCCAACCAUCUGCAGGGUAUGUUGAACCGGACUGUAAGAUUAUUAGAAGCAAGAAAAAAACAUGUGUCCUGAAGAAGGUAUUCACAGGUUGAACUUCCCAAAAAACCGAGGCAUAUUAACGUAGCCUUUUUUGUUGAGAUAGUAACUAUUUAUAUCCCAAUUUUUUAUUUUCCGUACUCGCAAUGAACUGUUACAUCAGAAGAAUUCCACAUUACAUAUGUCCUAUGUAUUUAUGCGGCAUAUUUUUUUGUGACAGUAAAUUGAAGGCAAGACAGAAGAGCAUUCAAAAAGUCUUCUUAAAUUGGCCAUUCAUAGUUUUGAUUUAUAGGAUGUUUGCCCUAUAUAUUUUUUGGAAAUAUAUAGGUUGUUUGCUCUACAAUGAUUUGUAAUAGUUCUUUGAUCUGUAGUCUUACCGAGAAAUCAAUUCAUUCGUAGGAAUACUUCUGACGUUACAUGCUAAAUCUCCAGUACAUUGACCACAUAUAGGAUGGCAAGAGUUGCGAAGAAAAACAUGUUGCUUACAGGGAUUGCAGCUAUGUUGUGGGGCAUUUUCAAAAUGAAUGGCCUCAUGAACCAGAACCAGUUGGGAUUAUUCUCUCUAAAAUGCACAAGAGCUGCUUCGGUGGGGUCGCAAGACUUCUUCAACAUCAGGGCCGCAAAAAAGUGAUGGGCGCCAUGGAUCCCAAGCCUCCAACUCUAGAGGAUGUGGAGAAGGAUAUGAUGGUUCAAGGUGGGCUAAGAGGUUUCAGUUUAUUUGAGCUGCUUUUGUUUUCUGAGAACUGCAACGUGUUGUUGCAAAAAGUCUUUUUCUUGUCGGUCUGUUGCGGUCUCUUUGGUCUGUUUGUGGCUAUCAGUAGAUUUUAAGCUUGGAGGUAGUCGCCGAGUCAUUUCAAGUCAAGGUGGAGUUUUAAUGUCUUGAAAUAUCAUUGUGAUAUUUUGUAUACGCUUGAAUUUUUACAUGGAUUAUGUGCGGUACUUGAUUUCA